GUGGGGAAUCUUAGACAAUGGGCGCAAGCCUGAUCUAGCCAUGCCGCGUGAGCGAUGAAGGCCUUAGGGUUGUAAAGCUCUUUCGUGGGGGAAGAUAAUGACUGUACCCCAAGAAGAAGCCCCGGCUAACUCCGUGCCAGCAGCCGCGGUAAUACGGAGGGGGCUAGCGUUGUUCGGAAUUACUGGGCGUAAAGCGCACGUAGGCGGACCAGAAAGUCAGAGGUGAAAGCCCGAGGCUCAACCCCGGAACUGCCUUUGAAACUCCUGGUCUUGAGGUCGAGAGAGGUGGGUGGAAUUCCGAGUGUAGAGGUGAAAUUCGUAGAUAUUCGGAGGAACACCAGUGGCGAAGGCGGCCCACUGGCUCGAUACUGACGCUGAGGUGCGAAAGCGUGGGGAGCAAACAGGAUUAGAAACCCCAGUAGUCC
rnacentral:rRNA from 1 species